rnacentral:sRNA from 1 species
ACAUGAGUAAGUAGCCAUUUUUCGAAGAAAAAUGAGCGGAUUGCGAAUGUUUUUGAGGAUUGUGAGAGUACGAAGUACGAAACAAUCCGAUAUCUUA